rnacentral:lncRNA from 1 species
CCUCUUUUGAUUUUCAGAUUUUAACUAUUUUGUCCUUCAUUAUUUGACUUGUUUCCCAAGUUACUACACUAAACUACUGAUUUUUAAACAAAACUACCCUUCUAGAAGGGUCUAAAAGAUUCUAUCAUUGCUUCUUACUAAUAAGAUAACUAUACUACCCUUGUUGUAUUCUAAAAACUACCAAAACUAAGUUAAAAUUCUAUAUUACCUCUAUUUUAUUCUAAAAAUUACCAGAACUAGGUGGAAACCCUAUAUUACCCUUUUAAUGCUGAAAUUAUUGUUUCAUUCAAUUAAGACUCACAAUUAAUUACUAGCUAAUCAACAGCUAUAACCAACUCCUAAUUACAUGUGAAAUAUUAAUCAGGAAUAAACAACAAUCAAACUAUGCAAUUAAGACACUACUGAAUCAAAAAUUCAAAUCAAAUAUUGAAAUUAAAAGAAAAACAUGGAAGGCUAUAGUUAUCAUGCUAUUAACAAAAUUGAAGCAAGUCAGAAUUGAAAACUGGAAGCUACUAUGCUGGACUUCAAACUAACGAAAUGAAAAACUAAAAGCAACCAAAACAAAACAAAUUGAAGAAAAUCAGAGCUUGGUCUUUGAAACAUGGUGGCUAACUAAAAUUCACAAUCAAAUUAUAGGAAUAUUUAGAACUCCUAGAACUAACGAU